rnacentral:rRNA from 1 species
AACGAACGCUGGCGGCGCGCCUAACACAUGCAAGUCGAACGAGAAGGCGUAGCAAGUACGCUUGUACAGUGGCGAACGGGUGAGUAAUACGUGGGUAACCUACCCUCAAGUGGGGGAUAACCUAGGGAAACUUAGGCUAAUGCCGCAUAAUCUCUGCGGAGGAAAGCUGGGGUGACCUGGCGCUUGGGGAUGGGCCUACGGCCUAUCAGCUAGUUGGUGGGGUAAUGGCCUACCAAGGCGACGACGGGUAGCUGGCCUGAGAGGGUGGUCAGCCACACUGGGACUGAGACACGGCCCAGACUCCUACGGGAGGCAGCAUG